CCUACGGGAGGCAGCAGUGGGGAAUAUUGGGCAAUGGGCGCAAGCCUGACCCAGCAACGCCGCGUGAAGGAAGAAGGCGUUCGGGUUGUAAACUUCUUUUAAGAGGGAAGAGCACAAGACGGUACCUCUUGAAUAAGCCACGGCUAACGACGGGACAGCAGCCGCGGUAAUACGUAGGUGGCAGGCGUUGUCCGGAUUUACUGGGGGUAAAGGGCGUGCAGCCGGGAAGACAAGUCAGAUGUGAAAGCCCGCGGCUCAACCGCGGAACUGCAUUUGAAACUGUUUUUCUUGAGUACCGGAGAGGUCAGCGGAAUGCCUUGUGUAGCGGUGAAAUGCGUAGAUAUAAGGAAGAACACCAGUGGCGAAGGCGGAUGACUGGAAGGCAACUGACGGUGAGGUGCGAAAGCGUGGGGAGCAAACAGGAUUAGAUACCCUAGUAGUC
rnacentral:rRNA from 1 species